rnacentral:lncRNA from 1 species
UAAAAUUUAUGAAUACGUCUGUGGGGGCGACCGCUGGAUGUAAUGGACUUGAGUCGAGGACGGGUUGCACCUAAUGGCACCUGUUCAUUCAUCAUAACAUAAUCAUACGAUCUGUAACGUAUGAUUAUGUUACGUUGUUUGGUUAGAUUAGAUAGACAGUGUUUAGUGGUUUUGAUAUUUAUUUGAUAGCGAGUGUCUUACCACUACGCCACGAGGACUGUUAACAACCAAAUAUUUCCGUUCCGUUCUGCUCUUCCAAAAUAUGAAGCUAAAUUGGGAGAUUGUUUGCGGGAAACACUUUGUGUCAUGAGCGUGUAACUCCUGUCCCCACAAUUGUACAUUACUUUUACGUUCUUUGUACACACAUUCUUUUAAGUAAACAUUGAUUAAUUAUGUUGACCAAUUUAACUGUGUCCUUCUUUAGUCCUUAACAGAGAGCAGUUAGAAGUGGGGCAAGGGCCCCAAUAUCAGGUCAGUGCUGAUUGUCUAUUAUUGCUUUACUACCCCAUGAACUAAUUGUAUGAGAACCAGGAGCCUUGUUAAAGCGUGCUGUAAGUGGAUAUAUUUAACGAGUUGUAAGGUUAUAUCAUAUCUGUCUGCAGGACAGAUAUGAUAUAACCUAAUUAAUAUUAGGUUAUUAAUAUCCUAAUUAAUAUUAGGAUAUUAAUGAGUGGAAGGAGGUGUGGGAGGCAGAGCAAAGCACUCUUAUAACUUCUUCAAUUCAAGGUAAAUCGGUUUAAAAAGCAAAUCUCCACACACGGAUUUUUAACCCUAUGGGUAAAAAAAUAUAUCCUGCAUUCUGUUUUACUGUGGCUUAUUGAACUUAAAGCUGUUGUCACUUGUAUGUGUUACGUUUGACCUUUUAAAGACAGGGUCUGAAUUAAUUUAACUGAAUCUCCAACUUGCUCAGCAUUUUAUAGGUCGUGGUUAGAUCAGCCUUGUCGUGUCUGGUUUGCUGUGUUGUUAGUCCUGUAGCCUUCAACCGUUUCCUGUACAAGAGUCGACUUAGUUCUCGGAUGAUUUUUGUAAGUCUUGAACUUUCUCCAAAUCAGAUGUGACCCUCUGAAGGUGAGGUUCCAUGGUUGGAUACAGUAGCCCCAAAAAGGGAGCACACUAGAGCCUUGUCCAGUUGAAUAACCACUUUUUUCCUUGAAGUCAAAGGUUCCUAAGUACGGAGACUGGAGAGGCAAGACUGACGAGAGGCAUCAACAUCAGAGGCUGGUGUCACACGACAGACUUGACGUGGUGAGAGGCAAUGUUGUGUUAUGUUAUCCCGUCGUUGUUGAUGUUCUUUAGUACCCCGAGACUGUCUUAGUUGCCUUCCUUACUAUCUGGCUGUGGUCGCCUGAGGCGGAGGUUACGAUAAGACAGUUAUAAUUUUAUAAAUUUCAAGGUAAACAUACAGCUCUAACAGGCAGAACUGAAGAGGUUUGGAGCUGUAGAGGGCGUGUAGGAAGGAGCUGAGAACCGCCUGACAUUCCAUAAAAUUCGUCUUGGGAUUUCUACUCCAGGCGCUCGAGGAGUACCUUGGGGAGAUGGAGACAGGAAGAGCGAGGAAGGUGACGGGAAGUCUUAUUCUGAGGACGAGAGGAGCGCCAAGGACCCGUCCGGCGUCACGAAGUGACUGUAGAGAACGCCACUUGUGCAGAAUAAUAUUCUGAACAAUGUCAUCCUGGACGUUAAUAGUUAUUGAAGUGUGAACAUUUAUGCUUUAUAAUGAGUUAAAAUCACUCAAUUUGUCAUUAACGAGCAAUAUCUCAAGUCAAUUGAAAGAAAUAUUUAACAUCAUAGAGUGUUGUGUCAGGAACUUUGGGUUGUUGGGUUUCUUAGUCUGUUAUUGCAUAUUGUAGUUGUUGAGCGGCCAUUAACAGUUCUUGACUGACGGACCAUUAUUACUUUACAACUUCACUAUUGCAAAUGUUGCUCUGUUGUACCUGUUGCAACAUUUACAAUAGAAUGUUGUAUUUGGUUUGUGAAUUAGAUUUUGAAAUUAACAACUUAAAACAUUCAAGCUGAAGUUCAUUAUUGGUUCAUUAGAGACUUGUUCGUAUUUGGGGAAGUGAAGGAGUGGCUGUUGGUCAUUGAUAAUUGACACUUCAGACUCGCAAAAUGUUAACCAAUGGGGUGAGGUUUUAGGGUGAAUGUCAACCAGUCAGCGGCCGGGUUUGGUGGGCUGCUGGGUAUAAAAGGAAGGAUGAGCCAAAAUGCACUUCAGUGUGUUUUACCUCACUUUUAGUAUACAGUUCAGCUUCGUCUCGAAGGUGAGCUGUAUGGUGAGGAUCCUCCCCACCUCCCCUCUUUGUUGCGUCCCCCCUUUCCUCCCCUCCCACUUGUUGCGUCCCCCCCCCCUGUCUCUUGUUGCGUUCCCCAUCCCUCCCCUCCCCUUCCCUGUCUCUUGUUGCGUCCCCCUUCCCCUUAACAAAUGCUAAAUAUCUUGGCUAAGCGUAAUUUGAGGUAACUUCUAAUUUAAUUUGAAUCAAAUAGUGCUUAAUUUAGUGUAAUCUUUUACCAAAAACUGUAAAAUUCAAUAUUUUUACGUUGCCUUGCCUUAACAAUUUUUGCACCAGGGUUGACUAAAUGCACUUUAGUCUUGUGUUGGUAUUAUAUUUCACAUUCCAGAAUGUUGCUUACAAUAGUGGUGACUCCUGGGACCACUACAGCAACACCAGUUGUCUGCACCAAUUUUCGUCUCGCAUCUCGCUUCCCAAAAGUUGUCCUUCAGUGAAAGUCUCUACAAUUCUACCCCAAGACGCUUGCCGGUUUCAAACUGUUUCUUGACAGUUUGAUAUUACGUCGACCGGUUCACUCUUCAAGCGGCACUCUUGUUCUCCCAACACCUUCCUGCACUUAACAUGGCCCCAGCUUCCAUUCGCCCCUCGACCCCAGCUUAAGUCUCUCGGCCUUAAAAGGCCACAAACUCUUCCAAACUCCAUCCUGUGGAGUACCUCUUAACAUGAUACAUGAAACCACGGCUGGGAAAAAAGUUUCUCAUGGUGCGUGAAAAUGCCUACAGCUGGGAUCACUCUUACUACCUAGUCUUGUCAGAGGCUUCCAGCUACUUCAUCAGACAAGGGAAACUUCAUAAGGAGCGUUAUCGCCAAAAGUGAGAUCCAGGUCACGUGGAGGAGCGGGGCGCGACGACCCGGAGGCCGUCAUCCGGGUACACUGACCACUAACUGGUCUCGGCUCGGGCGACCAUAGCCAGACAACAGGUAAGGCAAAGAGGACAGUCUCGGGGUACUGAAAAACCUCUAUAACAACGCCAUAGUGCCACGACACAGCCUGUCACCGCGUUAGUUUAGUUCAUUUAUUAUGCACCCCAUACCCAUCUUGUGGGCUGUAGUGGAAAGGGUUACAGAGGCACAUAAUGGGCUCAGGGA